rnacentral:rRNA from 1 species
ACGGAAGGCAGCAGUGGGGGAUAUUGCACAAUGGGGGAAACCCUGAUGCAGCGACGCCGCGUGGGUGAAGAAGUUUUUCGGAAUGUAAAGCCCUAUCAGCAGGGAAGAUAACGACGGUACCUGACUAAGAAGCCCCGGCUAACUACGUGCCAGCAGCCGCGGUAAUACGUAGGGGGCAAGCGUUAUCCGGAUUCACUGGGUGUAAAGGGAGCGCAGACGGACCGACAAGUCUGAAGUGAAAGAGCGGGGCUCAACCCCGAAACUGCUUUGGAAACUGCCGGACUAGAGUAUCGGAGGGGCAGGCGGAAUUCCUGGUGUAGCGGUGAAAUGCGUAGAGAUCAGGAAGAACACCGGUGGCGAAGGCGGCCUGCUGGACGAUAACUGACGUUCAGGCUCGAAAGCGUGGGGAGCAAACAGGAUUAGAUACCCUGGUA